AGCAGCCGCGGUAAUUCCAGCUCCAAUAGCGUAUAUUAAAGUUGUUGCAGUUAAAAAGCUCGUAGUUGAAUUUCGGGGUUAGUAGGUUGGUCGUGCCACUGGUAUGUACUGGUUCUACUGAUCCCUCCUUCUUGUAGAACCGUAAUGCCAUUCACUUGGUGUUGCGGGGAAACAGGACUGUUACUUUGAAAAAAUUAGAGUGUUUAAAGCAGGCUAACGCUUGAAUACAUUAGCAUGGAAUAAUGAAAUAGGACGUUCGAUCCUAUUUUGUUGGUUUCUAGGAUUGACGUAAUGAUUAAUAGGGAUAGUUGGGGGCAUUAGUAUUCAAUUGUCAGAGGUGAAAUUCUUGGAUUUAUUGAAGACUAACUACUGCGAAAGCAUUUGCCAAGGAUGUUUUCAUUAAUCAAGAACGAAAGUUAGGGGAUCGAAGACGAUCAGAUACCGUCGUAGUCUUAACCAUAAACUAUGCCGACUAGGGAUCGGAUGAUGUUAAUUUUUUAAUGACUCAUUCGGCGCCUUA
rnacentral:rRNA from 1 species